rnacentral:rRNA from 1 species
GUACACUCCUACGGGAGGCAGCAGUGGGGAAUUUUGGACAAUGGGCGAAAGCCUGAUCCAGCCAUGCCGCGUGCAGGAUGAAGGCCUUCGGGUUGUAAACUGCUUUUGUACGGAACGAAACGGCCUUUUCUAAUAAAGAGGGCUAAUGACGGUACCGUAAGAAUAAGCACCGGCUAACUACGUGCCAGCAGCCGCGGUAAUACGUAGGGUGCAAGCGUUAAUCGGAAUUACUGGGCGUAAAGCGUGCGCAGGCGGUUAUGUAAGACAGUUGUGAAAUCCCCGAGCUCAACCUGGGAACUGCAUCUGUGACUGCAUAGCUAGAGUACGGUAGAGGGGGAUGGAAUUCCGCGUGUAGCAGUGAAAUGCGUAGAUAUGCGGAGGAACACCGAUGGCGAAGGCAAUCCCCUGGACCUGUACUGACGCUCAUGCACGAAAGCGUGGGGAGCAAACAGGAUUAGAUACCCUAGUAGUCCCAUGA